rnacentral:rRNA from 1 species
GACGAACGCUGGCGGCGUGCUUAACACAUGCAAGUCGAGCGGUAAGGCCCUUUCGGGGGUACACGAGCGGCGAACGGGUGAGUAACACGUGGGUGACCUGCCCUCAGCUCUGGGAUAAGCCUGGGAAACUGGGUCUAAUACUGGAUAUGACUCCACGGUGCAUGUCGUGGGGUGGAAAGCCUUGUGCGGCUGAGGAUGGGCCCGCGGCCUAUCAGCUUGUUGGUGGGGUGANGGCCUACCAAGGCGACGACGGGUAGCCGGCCUGAGAGGGCGACCGGCCACACUGGGACUGAGACACGGCCCAGACUCCUACGGGAGGCAGCAGUGGGGAAUCUUGCGCAAUGGGCGAAAGCCUGACGCAGCGGCGCCGCGUGAGGGAUGACGGCCU